AAAGUGCUCAAACAAUUUGGUAUUUUUGCCUUUCCACAGGGAAAAAUAUGUCUAAAGUUUUUAAUUUUGUUUAUAUUAUAAUAAUUUUUCUUUUCUUAAUCACAGAAGGUUCAAGUUACAUUGGAUUAGAUUUAUGCAGUACUGAUAAAGAUUGUUCUGCUACUGAGUGUGGGCUUCCAGAAGUUGCAAAAUGCAUAAAGCACAUUUGUGAAUGUGUAAAAUAUUAAUGGAAUCUCUAGAAACAUGUAGUUUUUAAAUAAAAAAUAAUAAAUGGUUUUAUCAUUUCUCUCA